AUGAACGCUGGCGGCGUGCCUAAUACCUGCAAGUCGAGCGAACGGACGAGAAGCUUGCUUCUCUGAUGUUAGCGGCGGACGGGUGAGUAACACGUGGAUAACCUACCUAUAAGACUGGGAUAACUUCGGGAAACCGUAGCUAAUACCGGAUAAUAUUUUGAACCGCAUGGUUCAAAAGUGAAAGACGGUCUUGCUGUCACUUAUAGAUGGAUCCGCGCUGCAUUAGCUAGUUGGUAAGGUAACGGCUUACCAAGGCAACGAUGCAUAGCCGACCUGAGAGGGUGAUCGGCCACACUGGAACUGAGACACGGUCCAGACUCCUACGGGAGGCAGCAGUAGGGAAUCUUCCGCAAAGGGCGAAAGCCUGACGGAGCAACGCCGCGUGAGUCAUGAAGGUCUUCGGAUCGUAAAACUCUGUUAUUAGGGAAGAACAUAUGUGUAAGUAACUGUGCACAUCUUGACGGUACCUAAUCAGAAAGCCACGGCUAACUACGUG
rnacentral:rRNA from 1 species